UAAUUCUCAUUUCUCUUUCAAUUUUGAAUAGGACUUGUGCACUUUCGCUGAUAUUAAUCACAACUUGAAUAGGACUUGCCCUUUUAUUUCUUUUAAUUUAUUUUAUAACUGGUUUACUAUAACUACAAUGAUUGUUUUAAGUAUUUUAGUUGACUACAAAGUGUGAUAAUGGCGAGACUUUAUUCUAUUAUGAGGCCACUAAAGGUAUUUCAGGAUUCAUUUGGCGUGAGGUAUAAGGUAUAAUAAUCUCAACAUAAAUUGUAGGAUUUUUUUAUUUCAUGUUUGGUCAGAGAUAUUAGGUAGUCCUUGAACUAUUUAUUCAUUUAUCCCAUCAUUUUUGGCGUAGCGAUCGCUGCAAAAAACCAAACUUUGCUAUCUUGCCAGGCCAGGAGAAGAUGAAUUCUGAAAUUCGACUUAGUAACGAGAAGGAAUGAUGGAAGAAUUUGGAAUAGAAGGGACUAGGGGGAUGGGGUAAGUGAGUGGAAGAAAAUGCAGACUCAUGAAGGAAUCAUUACUUUGUUGUCUGAUAGUUUUAGUAUGAUAUUUUCACUAUUAAUAGUUACAAAUCUUACUGGGGAUAUAUAAAAUUUUGAUUGUUGAACCUGAUUGAUCUCCUUCUGCUGUUUGGUCGUUUCUUAGGCUACACAUUUCCGAUUUCCUCAGAAUUUUAGCAAUGAUGCCUCGAAUAAUGGUGUUGCUCAAGAAGCAGUGCAGAAUAUAAAAAGAGUUAGCAAAACCAUGACGGAAGCAGAGGCAAGACAACACGAAACUCUCGCACCAUUUGGUAGUAUGAAUGUGUACGAAGGGAUCAAUUUCUUGAGUAGCUUACAAGAAAAGAAGUUGAAAAAACUCGAUAAGUCAAAUUCAUUAUUCAAGCUUCUUGUAUGGUGAUGUUUAAGUCACAACAAAAAUGCUAUUUAUCUAGCAUUAUUUUGAUGUUAAAAUAUCAUGAUGCAUAAAAUCGUUGUAAUUUAAAAAGCAAGUCAAAUGCCUCUUAUAUUGUUGGAAAUUAUAUGUAUUGUCACGAAGGAGCAAAUAGUUUGAAAAUACAUGUAGUAAAUGACAAAUUCGUAUGAACUCUAAUAGUUUAUAUCAAAAAAAUAAAUGCAUGAUAUGUGUUUAGA